AGCAGUCGCCGCGGUAAUACGAAGGGUGCAAGCGUUACUCGGAAUUACUGGGCGUAAAGCGUGCGUAGGUGGUGGUUUAAGUCCGUUGUGAAAGCCCUGGGCUCAACCUGGGAAUUGCAGUGGAUACUGGGUCACUAGAGUGUGGUAGAGGAUAGUGGAAUUUCCGGUGUAGCAGUGAAAUGCGUAGAGAUCGGAAGGAACAUCUGUGGCGAAGGCGACUAUCUGGGCCAACACUGACACUGAGGCACGAAAGCGUGGGGAGCAAACAGGAUUAGAUACUCGAGUAGUCCCUGUCUCUUAUAC
rnacentral:rRNA from 1 species